rnacentral:rRNA from 1 species
AUAAUGGGUCAGCGACUUAUAUUCUGUAGCAAGGUUAACCGAAUAGGGGAGCCGAAGGGAAACCGAGUCUUAACUGGGCGUUAAGUUGCAGGGUAUAGACCCGAAACCCGGUGAUCUAGCCAUGGGCAGGUUGAAGGUUGGGUAACACUAACUGGAGGACCGAACCGACUAAUGUUGAAAAAUUAGCGGAUGACUUGUGGCUGGGGGUGAAAGGCCAAUCAAACCGGGAGAUAGCUGGUUCUCCCCGAAAGCUAUUUAGGUAGCGCCUCGUGAAUUCAUCUCCGGGGGUAGAGCACUGUUUCGGCAAGGGGGUCAUCCCGACUUACCAACCCGAUGCAAACUGCGAAUACCGGAGAAUGUUAUCACGGGAGACACACGGCGGGUGCUAACGUCCGUCGUGAAGAGGGAAACAACCCAGACCGCCAGCUAAGGUCCCAAAGUCAUGGUUAAGUGGGAAACGAUGUGGGAAGGCCCAGACAGCCAGGAUGUUGGCUUAGAAGCAGCCAUCAUUUAAAGAAAGCGUAAUAGCUCACUGGUCGAGUCGGCCUGCGCGGAAGAUGUAACGGGGCUAAACCAUGCACCGAAGCUGCGGCAGCGACACUAUGUGUUGUUGGGUAGGGGAGCGUUCUGUAAGCCUGUGAAGGUGUGCUGUGAGGCAUGCUGGAGGUAUCAGAAGUGCGAAUGCUGACAUAAGUAACGAUAAAGCGGGUGAAAAGCCCGCUCGCCGGAAGACCAAGGGUUCCUGUCCAACGUUAAUCGGGGCAGGGUGAGUCGACCCCUAAGGCGAGGCCGAAAGGCGUAGUCGAUGGGAAACAGGUUAAUAUUCCUGUACUUGGUGUUACUGCGAAGGGGGGACGGAGAAGGCUAUGUUGGCCGGGCGACGGUUGUCCCGGUUUAAGCGUGUAGGCUGGUUUUCCAGGCAAAUCCGGAAAAUCAAGGCUGAGGCGUGAUGACGAGGCACUACGGUGCUGAAGCAACAAAUGCCCUGCUUCCAGGAAAAGCCUCUAAGCAUCAGGUAACAUCAAAUCGUACCCCAAACCGACACAGGUGGUCAGGUAGAGAAUACCAAGGCGCUUGAGAGAACUCGGGUGAAGGAACUAGGCAAAAUGGUGCCGUAACUUCGGGAGAAGGCACGCUGAUAUGUAGGUGAAGUCCCUCGCGGAUGGAGCUGAAAUCAGUCGAAGAUACCAGCUGGCUGCAACUGUUUAUUAAAAACACAGCACUGUGCAAACACGAAAGUGGACGUAUACGGUGUGACGCCUGCCCGGUGCCGGAAGGUUAAUUGAUGGGGUUAGCGCAAGCGAAGCUCUUGAUCGAAGCCCCGGUAAACGGCGGCCGUAACUAUAACGGUCCUAAGGUAGCGAAAUUCCUUGUCGGGUAAGUUCCGACCUGCACGAAUGGCGUAAUGAUGGCCAGGCUGUCUCCACCCGAGACUCAGUGAAAUUGAACUCGCUGUGAAGAUGCAGUGUACCCGCGGCAAGACGGAAAGACCCCGUGAACCUUUACUAUAGCUUGACACUGAACAUUGAGCCUUGAUG